rnacentral:lncRNA from 1 species
AAAAUUAAUACUAUAAAUAUAUAUAUUAUAUUUUAUAUUUAGGUUUAGGGUUUAUUAAUUAGGAUUUAGAGUUUAGUAUUGAAGGGGAGGGGGGGUUAGAGUUAGGGUUUAUGAUUAUAUAUAUUAUUUAUAGUAUGGUGAUUAUAUUAUUCAAAGUUAGGGUUUAUGAUUAUAUCUAUCAAAUUACUAUAAGUUCUACACUAUUUUAUAUGAUGUUCAAGUUUAUUAAUUUAUAUAUGUAAAUGAAAUAGACUAUAAACUAUAUACUAUUUAUAGAGAGUUCAUAUUAUGUCUUAUCUAUGAAAAAAUUGUUUUCAAUAAUCAUGCAUGGUUGUUUCGCCGCUUGUUCCACCCUCUUUAAUUUAAGAAAUUGAGC